rnacentral:lncRNA from 1 species
UGCAACAUGCAUCAGAUUAAAAAAUAGCAAACUUGAGUUGAAGCAAGGAAACAUAAAAUUGCAGAAAGCAAUUCGAAAAGAACUUGUAUUGGAAAUUGACAGAAAGUUUCGAGUCAAGAAAACGAAAAUUUCAAAGAAGCAAAGAUAAGUUCAGAUACCCCCAUCUUCCAUGGAGAUUGCGAGACCUCAUGAUUUUUGCUUGAGGAUUUCUCCUUUGGGUCUGUCCACUGUAUAUCCUGUAUAGUGGCGUCCUUUUUUCUAGUGUUUCUCUUUUGAUGUUGUUAGAUGUGUUUAACCCACUAAUGUUCCAGGUUUCUCUAUUUUAUGUUACGAUGGUAGUGACAUUGGAGAAGAAAUGUGUGUUGAGGUACAAAUCUUGAAUUUUUGGAGGUUCAAUGCAUUGCUGCUGAAAGGUACAUUCUCUCAAUAGUAUAAUGCAAUUUGUUAAUAAAAAUAAAUAGUGAUUCCAUAUGUAUUAUACGAGUAGUUCAUACAAAAAAAGAAGCAAAAAGCUGUGAUUCACUAUGUAUUAUAUGUCCAAAUUUUGUUUUAUUCAGCAUAAGGCUUCCAAGCAUGGUUCAGUUUCAGCACAAAGCUCAGUUCAAUAGAAACCAUGCCGACUUGGAUACCGACUUACCACUUAAUAAGUUACUGGACUGACCAAAACCUUCUGUAGUACUAGUCGACAUCACUAUUCAAGAUAAAUUUUGAGCUAUAAGUUCCAUUUUUCUUCCUUCCUGUUUUGAUACAUAUUUAGGAAUUACCUUUGUUAAUUUUGGCAUCCCCCGAAGCCUUGCACCCCCGGAGAAGCCACCCGCUGGAUCCAGUAGGGCAACACUGUUGACACCGAUGUCGUAGUCCUCCGGUGUCGCCUUUCCCAUCCCUGUCCAGGUAUAGGACUCGCACCAGUCCAGAUCUUCCUAGCUUCUCCGUUCAAGCUCCUCGUGCCAUGCUUGAUGGCCAGUUCAUCAUUAUAAACAUAAAUUUCUUUCAGUUCUGAAACGUGUACAGUUCCAGGAACAUUGUUGUGCAGACCAAAAAGUGUGCGAUGGAUAUUCUCUUCACAUUUUUUUGUGUUUUGGAGUAAAUCAACAUAGAUUGUUGACACAGUAGCUUCUAAUUUUUUGCACCGGAUUUGGAGAUAUGAACAAUGAUUGAUUUUGAUCAGUACUUGGUUGUGUGAUAUUUUUGAAACUAGGAUGACCUUGACCUUCGUCUGCUCUUAUGGUUUCCAGCAUCAUCCAGGACAACCUCGACCUACUACCACUAGUUGUUGGUGCACCUCCUAUUAGCCGCUAGUUGUUACCUAGUGACAUUCGGCUUGCAAGUUUAGGAAUUGGCUAUGAUGUUGUGUGGGCAUGCAACAUAAUUCUAAGGAAAUAAAUAUGGAAGUUCAUAUAUGAAGCAUAAUAAUGCUGCGCACUCUGUUAUAAGUUCUAAGGAAAUAAAUAUAGAAGUUCAUAUUUCAAAACAAAUGAAGUAUUUUGGAGGUAAAACAAACUAUUUCAAAGUACAUAAAUUAUAUUUAGGUAUCUUUGUGUACUUCAAUGUUACUGUACAUGAACUUGUUCUUUUUAUGUGAACUUGUACAUUUGCCCAUCCGACAAACAAUUUGAUUUGCACUUUUUUGGCCAUAUUUGACCUGUCAUAUUUCUCUAGUUCCAUCUCGUUCUUGAGUUCUUCUGACCAAGAGCUAGUAAGAUCAAACAUGAAUUUAUACCAGUUCAAAAAACAGAUUGUUGGGAAAUAAGAUUAAGACCAAAAACCAGAAAAGUUGUACAAAAAGAAAGUUAAAAAGCGUUUCAUUGGGACCUAUAUAAGCAAACAAUUUGCUGAUCAAUCGAGAGGAGGAGGUGUAGCCGGUCCACCCGAUCUCCGAUAUCUUAUUCCACCUACAAUUUUUUUUCUUUUUGAGUUCUACUCCCUCCGUUCCAGAAUAUAAGGUGUAUUGGUUUCCGUGCAAGUCAACCAUUUGAAUGUUUGACCAAGAUUAUAGAAUAAAAUAACAACAGUUACAAAACCUAGUAGAUAAAAUAUGAAACUACUUUUCAUGAUGGAUCAAAUGAUAUAAAUUUUGUAUACUGAAUGUUGAUAUAUUUUUCUAAAAACUUGGGCAAACUUGCACUCGUUUGACUUUUCAAAAAACAAAUACACCUUAUAUAAAGGAACGGAGGGAGUAUUGUUCGUCAUAGGUUCACCGCUAUUACCUCAGUGCAAAAGUGCCAAAAAUUAUUUACUAUUGAGUCAUUUUUUAUGAGAAGGUGUUAAGAUGGUACAUGUAGUUGGACAUCUCAAAUAUAUUGUAAUGUAUUUUUUGCAUAGUACCUUGAAAUUAUGUUAGCAAUUCUGAAUUGCUAUUGUGCUUGAAACUGAAAAUGAUUCUGUCACUUCUCAAUCCUCGUGGACUUGAUGCUUAAAAUACUUCUAGAAUGAAUUGAUUCUUGUUCUUUCAUGAUCAGUUCAGCAAAUAAUUUUUUAGUUGAGUCCAAUUUCAAAUUCUCAUUUUAGUUUAGUCAAAAGUUUCUUAUUUUAGUUCAGUAUAAUAUCCAAGUUUAUUUCAGUUCAAUUCUUAUUUUAGUUUUAGUUCAUUUCAAUUCUUAUUUUAGUCAAUCUAUAGUCUAUGGAUUUCAUUUGGCCUAGAUUGCUAGAUGUACUAACUUGUUGUGCCAAGGAUAUCUAAAACAUUAAGUGUUGCUACUAUAACUCGUUCAUUGUUUCACGCCUUCCCACAAACGCGCGCCCCCACCUCCCCACCAACGUGCGCCGCCCCUAGAUGUGGUGCUGAUAGUAGUAGGCGCCGGUUGUGUUGGAUAAAGUUCCUAGGAGCUCCCGUGAUUUAUACAUGGAACCCAGAUGAUUUCGUUUCUUCAUUCCCCCAAGUGCUUCAAUGUUGGCUCCUUCUCGGCUAGUUCGAUCGCUGUUGGAUUAGGUGGGCAUAGGUGUGGGUUUGCAGGAGCAUGGAGGUGGAUGGAUACGGGGAAGUUGGCACCGCUCUUGUGUUAUUUUCUCUGGCGAUUGAGAAAUUGAUACACUCUUUUUAAUGCGUAAGUUGAUCUGCUCACAACAUGUUUGUGUGAAAGCCAAAUAGCUUGAGAAUAGUAACCCGUUUGAGCUUAGCUGAGAGGAUUUUGAAUCAUUGUGUGAGGCAGUGUGGACAUGGCCUUGAGAUAAUGCAUGCUGCUUUAUUCAUAAAGAGACGGUGUUGUUGAUUUUAUUCAUAGGAAACUGAACCAAAACAGUGGUUGCUACUAGUGUUUGGAAAUUAUAUUUACUAGAACUCUGAUUUCUCACCCUUUUAAUUGCUGACUAAUUCUUGUAAAAAGUAGUGUUUAAUCUUGCUAAUUACUUUGAUGUGAUGCCUAGGUGGUCAGUCCACCUCCUGCAACCAACACCGGACGAAUUAGUGCAGUGUGUGUGUUUAAAAAAUUCAGUUUUAUAUUGUAUGGUAGUUCACCGUAUAGAAAAUUUGUAAUAGUUUGGCCAGAAUAAAGUUCGCAUAGUUCAUACUCGCGAGGCAGUAAUGUUCAAUGAGAGAAAACCAUCAGUUCAAAUAUAUAUGCAGGAGGUUGAGCGCAUAAAAAAAUGUAAUUUUUCUUUUGACGCGUUUAAUUUUUCAGUAUCCAGUACAUUAGUUUAGUAGUUGGUAUUAACUACUCUAGUUUUUUGUUUGAUGUACCUGUGGUGUCUAGUUUCUUCUGUCAAUUCAAUUUCUAAAUUUCAUCCAGCUCAAUUCAUAUUGUAGCUCCAAUUUAGUCCACGUGGUUAAUUGUUGGCUGGUGUGUGUGUGCAGGGUACAGUGACAUUGAGUAGGCACGAAGUGUAUCACUCCAGCACGCUAAGCUCCAGUGCAUGUCAACAUCUUCUCCACUGCAAUGGAAGCUCCUCUAUUCCAGUUGAGCACUGGUCAUCGUCCAAGUUGAGCACUAGGUGCCGUCCAAGUUCAAAGAGGGUUGUAUGCAAGUACAUAAGUUUGUUGUAGUGAGAAAAAUGCGGGGUUUUAACAAUAUUCUGUAUGAUUCAUUUAUUCAACCUUAUAACUUGGCAAUAUUCGGUCUAUUUUUCUAUGAUGAAGGCACACGUGAAGUCCUGUGCAAUCGUUAUCCCCCUAGUGCUUCAAAGAUUCAUAUUUUGUUUCUUCAAAUGUGGUGUGCGCCUGUUUGAUGAGGUAAAACAAAGUAAAAUAGUGAAAAU